rnacentral:rRNA from 1 species
CCUACGGGAGGCAGCAGUGGGGAAUAUUGGACAAUGGGCGCAACCUGAUCCAGCCAUAACCGCGUGGGUGAAGAAGGCCUUCGGGUUGAAAGCCCUUUUGUUGGGAAGAAAUCCUGUCGAUUAAUACUCGGUGGGUGACGGUACCCAAAGAAUAAGCACCGGCUAACUUCGUGCCAGCAGCCGCGGUAAUACGAAGGGUGCAAGCGUUACUCGGAAUUACUGGGCGUAAAGCGUGCGUAG